AUUGAACGCUGGCGGCAUGCUUUACACAUGCAAGUCGAACGGUAACAGGUUAAGCUGACGAGUGGCGAACGGGUGAGUAAUGCAUCGGAACGUGCCCGAUCGUGGGGGAUAACGCAGCGAAAGCUGCGCUAAUACCGCAUACGAUCUGAGGAUGAAAGCGGGGGACCGUAAGGCCUCGCGCGAUCGGAGCGGCCGAUGUCAGAUUAGGUAGUUGGUGGGGUAAAGGCUCACCAAGCCAACGAUCUGUAGCUGGUCUGAGAGGACGACCAGCCACACUGGGACUGAGACACGGCCCAGACACCUACGGGAGGCAGCAGUGGGGAAUUUUGGACAAUGGGCGAAAGCCUGAUCCAGCAAUGCCGCGUGCAGGAAGAAGGCCUUCGGGUUGUAAACUGCUUUUGUACGGAGCGAAAAGGUUCUCUCUAAUACAGAGGGCUCAUGACGAUACCGUAAGAAUAAGCACCGGCUAACUACGUGCCAGCCGCCGCUGUAAUAC
rnacentral:rRNA from 1 species